rnacentral:lncRNA from 1 species
UUGAUGGAACUACAGUUGUCGUAGAAUUGCCUUGCUGGUACUAAAAAGAUGCCGAUAACCAGAGGGGCACUGGUAACCAAUCGAUAUUGCUCAUCAGAGGUGUUCUGGACCCCUUAUGUCAACAUAGUAAUCAACUGUUCUCGACAAGACGACACUUGCUGCUUCUACCAGAUGACGCCAAUGGCGGAAGAAGGGACCCGAUGCCUGGAGUAACUUUGCAGUAUAAAAUUUUGCACUGUUCGAUUGGUCAAGAUAGAGAGGUUUUAGUGGAAUUCAGCCCUUGAUGGACAUGUCGUCUGUAUUUGCCCUGUCCUGUGUGGACAGAGAGCUCUUCCACACCUCGUGCACAUAUCAGAAUCCGCGAGGUAGGCGACGAAUUUAUUCAGGUUUAAAACGACAGGAAGACAGUGUUUUACAUUGUUGAAAGACAAAGAAAAAGAAUCGAUUCCAGAACGUGCUGUCCUGUGUUUGUUGUUUUCGACAGUUGAGGGGAGAGUCCGGUGCAUGCCAGAUACUAUCUAUUGAUUCCAAACACUCUAGUGAGAAAUAUAUGCAGAAGAAAGAACCAAGUAUGAUAAAUCCACGACAGACCUGGCACAAGCAUAUAGCAUGACACCACUAUAGCCGCCAUGACAAAAGCAUAGUUAAACAAAUUAGACAUAAGCUAACAAUAUAAUUAUACCCCAACGUACAAAGUAUAUUGGGCUAUGUUGGAGUCACGCAUGUCCAGUCCAUCCGUCCGUUCGUUCAUUUGUCCGCCAUGGCCGCUGGGAUGAUUUUCAUAAAACUGACAAAAAUUAUAAACCACAUCAAGACGAUGUACAGAGCGCUCAACCUAGGUCACAAGGCCCAAGGUCAAUGUUACUCGUGGAGGUCAAAGGUCAAAUAGCUUAGCUUCAUGUCCGUUCUAUAUUGUCUAAACGGCUUUGAAAAUAUUUAGCUCGACUGUUUAAAGAAUAAGGAGGAUUACUGUACUUGCCUUGGCGUCUGUGUCACUGUUACCGUUGCAAUGAAAGUUACAAUUUUAGGACAAGCUUCUCAGUGUCACUGCAUCUUCUUACUACUGCCCUUAUUAACAUCAAACUUCACAUAAGUGUUGGCCUUGGUAAGGGAAAGACAUCUACAUGUAUUAGUUUAGGAACAAGUAUCCUAAAUGUCGAAGUCACUGGGUUAACUAUUGUGAUAGUGCUGGUUAAAGUUUCAUGAUAAGCUUCUCAGUUUCACAAUAUAACCUCACAUAAAGAUUGAUCUCAGAACGUGGCAGAAAUCUUUUUGUUUAGGGUCACGUUGCUCAAAGGUCAAGGGUACUGGGGUCAGAUUUUGUAACAGUGUUGGUUAAAGUCUUAGGGCACAUUUCUCAAUUUGACUUAUAUCUCAUAACAUUUCCUAGAACUGGUAUCCCUCAUGUCCUAUCCUUUUUAGCUAUACCCACACUUCAUCUACGUUCCCCCCGACACCCACCCAAAAAUGCGUUCCUUACAAAAACUUAUAUUUCAUGUUUCCAUCAACUUCCCUACUCCGCUGUCUUUACCUACCUCCUCCACCCCAUUGCACUGAACCUUUACCCUCGUCCUUAACCCCCACCCCCUCCAUAAAAAGGAUAAAAAAACUCCUUUUCGAUCUCCCACACUUACUUAUAAUAAUAACAAUAUCUUGUUAAACAUUUUCCUUAUAGUCGAGCAGACACAAUUAACGCAGAUCACUAGGUUCUCGGUCAAGGUUACACCUAAAUAUCAAAAGUCAUGAUGGCAACAUUUUACUUUCCCUUUAUCAAAGUGAGGUCUGUGACGACUUCAGUGAUAGCCUUAGUUUAUCAGGUCUUAGUGGCAUAAAUGUGUAACAUUUGUUUUAUU